rnacentral:lncRNA from 1 species
CCGUUUCAUUCACUUUGAUCCGCCGCUGUCUGCUGCACUUCUCCUUCGCUCAAAUCCAUCUUUGUUCUUGUUGAAACUACAGGUGCGAUUUCUUUGAAUCUAAAAUUUCCUUUUUUGUGAUUUCUUUGACGCUGCUAGUGCGAUUUCUUUGUUUCUGAGUUUUGUGAUUUCGUUGGUCUUUUUUGUUGUGGCUGCUUGAGAUUUUAUUUUUAAUGUGGUAUAUUUUGCUCUUCCCCAUUAAAAAAGCUUUUUGUGCUGGUUUAUUUCUGUUAUUGGUUCUACUUCUUGAUUUUCUUGCCUUGGCUCUGUGAUUCCAAUACUCACUCGUUCUAUUCCAUUUUUAUUCUCUCUAACUGCCGAACUAUAUAUACUCCAAAUAUAAGACCAAAUCUUCUUGGGCUCUUUUUAAUCACCAAAUUUGGCAAAGAGGUAAAGCUUAUUAGAUUGAAGAAAGAAUCAAUCGGCAUUAAAAGAGGACAGCAGGGCUGUGCACCAAGUAAUUUACAUUAAAAAGCAAUUAAACAGGGUAAAUUAGCAAUUAAUUGAAGAAGUGAGUAAAUUUUUGUUUAUUGUUAUUAAUUAAAAAAGGGCCAUAAUUGAUAUCUGUUUUGGGUUACCUGCUGUCUUGGCUGGGUAAUGUGAAUUGGAAAUCUGGUUAGCUCAUAUUUGAACUUCCAUAAAAUUAGAAGUUCUAAAUCAUGCCCACAAGCUAAUUGCUAAAAUGUUCAAAUGAAAAUCUUUUCCAAAAAUCUUGAUGAGCUAUUAUUGAUGAGCUAAAUGAUAUUGUAGGAUUCUAAGAUCAUCUUCAAAAUUGUCCCAUGUGUCACAGUACUAUAAUGGAUGGGACUUUUUAGUGCUUUAGUUUAUAUGAUUACAAAAAGUUGGAGUGAAAUUUUUUAGCAUGUUGCCACGGUCUACAGCCUCAUCCGGCCACAAGUUUUCCUAUGUUUCUUUUCUCCUGAACCAAAUUUCAGCAUUGAAAUGAAACAUUGGGAAUAUUGAUUACUCCAUUACUUAGUGUUUUAGUUUAACUAAUUCAUGUUCAUAAGGAAACUCUAUGUUUGUGUUCUUUUAAGGUAACUCCUUGUUUCCCCCCCUUUUCAUGGCACUAUAUAUUUGAUAUUAGUGAAGUGAAUGAUCACAAAUGAAAAUUUGGUGAGAAAAAAAUCAUGUGAAGUUAUGAACCAUGUAGCAAAAUUGACUAGUUAAUAGUAAAAUACAGCCUAAUUAUAUCUUUUUUCCAUAGACUAGCCAAGUGAGUUGAUUAUGAUCCUCUUAGAUCUUGAUUAUUGUGACUCGAAAGCCUUGUUGUGUUUGCUCAAUAUGAUCGAGAUAACAUGUUUGACAAUGAAGCGGAGCAAAAUGAAGGAAACGAAGAAGAGGGACAAGAUGAACCACAAUGGGGUGAUCAAGGCGUAAAAUUUAUGAUUAAUCUACUUGAACAAAUUGCACUUCAACUCUUAACAACUGUUUGAAGUUAAUUUAAUUUGUAUGGUUGAAUUAUUAUGCUAUGUUGAUAUUUUUGGGA